AGCAGCAGCCGCGGUAAUACGUAGGUGGCAAGCGUUGUCCGGAAUUAUUGGGCGUAAAGGGCUCGCAGGCGGUUUCUUAAGUCUGAUGUGAAAGCCCCCGGCUCAACCGGGGAGGGUCAUUGGAAACUGGGAAACUUGAGUGCAGAAGAGGAGAGUGGAAUUCCACGUGUAGCGGAGAAAUGCGUAGAGAUGUGGAGGAACACCAGUGGCGAAGGCGACUCUCUGGUCUGUAACUGACGCUGAGGAGCGAAAGCGUGGGGAGCGAGCAGGAUUAGAUACCCCAGUAGUCCCUGUCUCUUAUAC
rnacentral:rRNA from 1 species